GCCGGCUUAGCUCAGGUGGUCGAGAGCGGCGGUCUUGUAAACCGUAGGUCGUGGGUUCGAAUCCGACAGUCGGCU
rnacentral:tRNA from 1 species